UGCACACUGAAGGCUUCCCUGUCACUAGAGCUGAGAGCUAGACAAUUCUUUCCCAGUAUCCCAGUCAUGAGGAAAGAGGAAGAAACCAAGCUGUUUUAAAAGCAAAGCAGCAGUGAGCAACUGAGGGUAAGUGGCAAAAGAGGAGGGAUAUUUUCUAAAACUCAAACACAUGAAAUCAAUACAUUUUUAAAUCUUUUCAGUUCUUAGGCUGUACAACAGGGUAUCAUUGCUACAGGCUGUGAGGGUGUCAUUAAUAUCUCAACCCACUGCAGCAGUAGCUGGGUGAGCCCCAGGGCAGCACCCAGUGAAGUCAGCAUGUGAAAAGGUUUGUGAAAAUUGCUUCAGGCAAGUGUGGAGCUGGGCAAAAUACUGAGGAGAAUAUCUAGUGACGACUUUGGUGACAGUAAAAGAUACCAUCCACUGCCGAGUACACUGCUGUAGAACCCUUCUUUGGCCCUUCAGUCAAACUCAGUACACUCUAUGAAACCACAGUAUAUUCAAGCUUUUUUCAAUAUAUACUAUAUUCAAUAUAUAUAAAGCUUUUAUUGGUUUCCCAGUCUUUGGGGAAAACAUGUUUGUUCAUUUUUAGACAAAUGGAGGGGACGCAUACAUGUUGAGGACUGGGAAUAAAAAAACCCACAGAGAUACCAAGUGUCCUGUGAUGCAGCAAAGCUUGUUCCCACAAAAACCCAGCUGAGAGCUCUCCAGUGAUGCUGCUGAUUACUGAUUAGGGGCUGAUAGCUAUUUUGCAUGCUGUCUCUAGCCCAUGCUUUAAUACUUACUGACCAUAAAGUUGAGCAGUUUUGGGUAGGAAAACUGAGGAAGAUAACUUCUCUUGUGCAAUUCUGUUAAAUAGUUUUACUGCUAUAAUUUAUGUUACCUGGAUACGGAAGAGGGUGUUUUUCUUCUUCCAGUCACAGCUGUGGAGAACUUUUAUUAAACAAGAGAGGCUAGAGAGUCAAAAUAAAGAAGGAAAAAAAGCUAAGGCUGAAUAAAGUUAGAAAUAGACAAAUUAAGAAAUUGGCCCUGGAAGGCCGGUGUUUUCCUGCUGUACAUUUUGGUUAGAGUGCACUGGGAAGAGGGCUAACAUACAGCAGAAGUGAUACCCCAACCCAGAAAUGCACCUGGGGUGGCCAUUUGCUUGUUUGAAUGCCUUUUGCUGUUCCCUUGGGGAAGAGCAUGCAGGAGACCUGACCAACAUCAGUCACUCAGAUAUGAGCAGGCGUGUUCUGUGCACGAGCUGGACAGCAACUCUCUCAAGAACUGGUGAGUGUGGUGGUAGAACACUGAGGCAAUAAUUCUACCACCUUUUGGUAACACUGUCUGUUUCUCUCCAUAAUAUCCAUUUUGCUUCUAAUAUGUACAGGGAAAAUGAAAUAAGGGCUUUUACUGCUUUCACACUCUGGGAAUAUCCAGAUUUGUGUCAAACCUCUGAGAUUACAUACUGUAAAUAAUUCAUUACUCACACAAAAGGGCAAAAGUGCUCCCCAAUCUUAUUAACUUGAUGUUUCUUAAAGCCUUUUUAAUCCUGUUUUAUAGAAAGAAAAUAUUACAUCUAUAUUUAUAUUUAGCACUACAUAUGUGAAGUAUCUUUCAGCUUAAACAUAGAAUACUUCUACAAUUUUAAUUUCCCAUGGGAUUUGAGCUUCCUCUCUCCAAUUUCUUAUUAACAGAUCGGUCACAGAGGUCCCAACUUUAAGACUAUGAGUAAGUUAUAUUUAGAUUCCCUGCCCUAAAUCCAUUGAUUAUAAUACAAACUAUUUUUUACUUUUUGUAUCAAAAUAUUCUCACCAACUAUGAAAGUUUUCUUUCAAAAUACUUGGUUAAAGAAAUCAAGAAAUGAGCAAAGGAUGACUAGAGAGCACACUGAGGUUAACACAAGACCCUUCUAUCUCUGCAAAAUUUUGAGGUAAGCUCAUACAGACUUCAGGAGAUCUGAAAUGGGUCUGGAAAUGUCUCCCAGGAAAACAGUUUCUUUUAUGAAACUCAAAUUUCCACCAAGCUGGGCCAUGCAAAUAACAGUUAAUUCACACUUCUGUCAUAAUAGUUAAUGUUUCUGUCUGGAGCCAAGAAUAUCAAAGGAUUAAGAAAAUUAAUAGGAGUUAGUGGGGAAAAUUUUUAAAAUAACAGUUAACAGAGGUUCUUGUUUAAAGUUUGAGUUGUGUGUUGAGUUAUAGGUUGGGUUAGUUUUUAGUGGAAAUAUGAUUCCAAUCAGAAAUCAAAUCUGUUUUGUACCACAUCACAAAGACUGACAGUUUCUGUUCCAAUGAAAUCCAUUUCUGAGAUACCAGAAGUGCUGCAGCAGCAGCAGAAACUCAAGUGUUCUCAGGUAAUGUACUGGAAACUGUUUAAAUGAAAACUAAGAGGGGCUGUUUGGAGACUGCCCUUCAACUGUGGAAUCUGCCGAAGUAUAAACAAUGAGAGAGACAGAGGGAUGGAGACUGACACCACUCCUUCCAGAGAACAUCCACAAUCAAACCUGGCCUUUACUCACGGGUGUUAUUCUAUUGAUUUUAAUGGGCUUUUCCUAAAACUACUCAGCUAGAAAUGAAAGGAGAAAGGUGUACAUCCUUGAUUUUCACUGUGGCAUCCAGUUUCUUCAAAGCUAACACCAUGCUUCUGUACAGUCUAAGUGUCUUGGGCUUGUUUUGUUUAUUGGCAUGUUUGUUUUAAAAUGCAAAACAACAGCAGUGAGACAGAAAUUAAAAGUAACAACUAAUAAAAACAAAAA